UAUUUUUAGGGUUCCGUAGCCAAAUGGCAAAAAAACGGAACCCUUAUGGAUUCGUCAUGUCUGUCUAUCUGUCCGUCCGUAUGUCACAGCCACUUUUUUCCAAAACUAUAAGAACUAUACUAGGUAAGUAGAUGUAUUCUGUGAACCGCAUUAAGAUUUUCACACAAAAAUAGAAAAAAAAAACAAUAAAUUUUUGGGUUCCCCCCCACACGUGGGGUAUCUAUGGAUAGGUCUUCAAAAAUGAUAUUGAGGUUUCUAAUAUCAUUUUUUUCUAAACUGAAUAGUUUGCGCGAGAGACACUUCCAAAGUGGAA